GUUGUCCUAGGUAGCCUAGUGGUCAUGGCAUCUGCCCGGUAAGCGGAAGGUCGUGGGUUCGAUUCCCAUCCCUUUACA
rnacentral:tRNA from 1 species